UCCGGCUUACACCGGCGGUCUCCUAUGAGUUCCCGGCUUUCCCGCUGGCAACAUAGGACGAGGGUUGCGCUCGUUUACGGACUUAACCGCACACCUCACGGCACGAGCUGACGACAGCCAUGCAACAUCUGUUUUCAGGUCCCCUUGUGGGGGAGGGCCCAAUCUCUUGGGCUUUCCUUCAAUGUCAAACCUGGGUAAGGUUCUUCGGUUAGUAUCGAAUUAAUCCACAUGCUCCACCGCUUGUGCGGGUCCCCGUCAAUUCAUUUGAGUUUCAACCUUGCGGCCGUACUCCCCAGGCGGGAUACUUAGUGCGUUAGCUGCGGCACAAGAGGGGUCGAUACCUCUUACGCCUAGUAUCCAUCGUUUAGGGCGUGGACUAC
rnacentral:misc_RNA from 1 species